GGAGUUAGCCGGUGCUUCUUCUGUGAGUGAUGUCCUUCCUGCCGGCUAUUAACCCGCAGGCCUUCUUCCUCACUGAAAGUGCUUUACAACCCGAAGGCCUUCUUCACACACGCGGCAUGGCUGGAUCAGGGUUGCCCCCAUUGUCCAAUAUUCCCCACUGCUGCCUCCCGUAGGAGUCUGGGCCGUGUCUCAGUCCCAGUGUGGCUGAUCAUCCUCUCAGACCAGCUACGGAUCGUCGCCUUGGUGAGCCGUUACCUCACCAACCAGCUAAUCCGACAUAGGCUCAUCCGAUAGCGCGAGGCCCGAAGGUCCCCCGNUUUCCCCCGUAGGGCGUAUGCGGUAUUAGCCUGGGUUUCCCCAGGGUUAUCCCCCACUACCGGGCAGAUUCCUAUGCAUUACUCACCCGUCCGCCGCUCGCCACCAGGGAGCAAGCUCCCCGUGCUGCCGCUCGACUUGCAUGUGUUAGGCCUGCCGCCACGCGUUCAUCUGAGCCACUAAUACAAACUACUGA
rnacentral:rRNA from 1 species